ACGUGGGCAACUGUAUCCCCGCCCACAAUGGCGAAGUGAGGCGGGGCCGAAGGCGGGGCCGAGGGGCGGGCUUGGAGGACGGGACGGGGGUGCGGCUAGAAGAGGAGGAGACUGAUACGGGGGGGAGGAGCUGAAGCCGUCUCUGGUGGAGAGUGUGCGUCAUGACGUCAUGGCUCAGAGUACUUAUAUACAGGCGCCUGGCCGCCAUCUCGGUCUUUCGUGGCUGCGAGCUGGCCGUUCCUGUGAGUUGUUCUUUGCUGCUAAGAACCGCGGCAGGCAUGACUCCAAUGUGGAUUUUGAUGGCUUCUGUUGGGCAGUUGUGUACCAGAAGGAUGACAACUACUGCUGGGGUGUUAAAGCGCAAGCUUGGUGCUGUGUCUAUGAGCAGACAGAUGAUGGCUACAUGUUUUGUUACGUGGCUGACUUCUUUGGGGUGUGAAGAGAGGUAGUGACUACAAUGCAAGGAAUCAGGAGUUCUAACCAAAG
rnacentral:lncRNA from 1 species